UGUAACCUUUCUAAUUUUUCCAUUAUAUAUAUAUAUAUAUGACAAUAAACGCAGGUAGAAUUAAGAUUUUCCAUCUAAUCGAUUCGUUUUCAUAAAAAAACUAAGAUGGCGAGAAGAAACGGAUUACAUUCGUCGACUUUUUUAUUGAUGUUGGCUGGAAUCAUGUUUAUCCUCUUGUUCACGAGAACCGCACAAGUCGACGGAUCGGAGAAAGCACAUUCGCGGGUUUUUGCUAGAAAGAAGCUAUCGACGAUCAUCUCCACUCCACCGAUGAAAGAUGAUGGGAUUCCGUGCAAUCUAAAAUAUAGUCGGAAACAAAACUGCCGAGUUGGUCCACAAAUUCAUCCAUUCCACAGGGGGUGCAAGAAAUCCAACCUUUGUAGAGAUGGUCUUUGAUUAUCAUCUAACAACUAUAAACUACAUGUUAUUUCAUAUUUGUAGUUGUUAGUGGAUAUCUCUCUAGUGAAGUCCAAAAUAAAAGGAAAUCUUGGCCCAAUUAGAAUUAUUUUCUCAUCUUAUAAAUACUUAAUGGACCGGACCCAACCCAUAU
rnacentral:lncRNA from 1 species